CAGAGCUCAACCAGCUUGGUUAAGUUGAGGCUAGCUAAGGAUAGCAUGCUAACAUCAUGUUUCUUUUACAGCGUAGGGCAAUGAAAUAUUAUGUUCUUGUGUGUGUUAGUUAAUGUUAGAUAAACGUAUCUAAGUUUCAAUGCCCUUACAUUAACUUAGAGGACCGUGUUGUUUGCUAAUUAACGAGAACUUGGCACCUCAGAGGGCCUUUUUAGGAAGAUGUACGUAAGUCUUUCAUGUCUGAGAUCUAAGAGUGAUUACAGAUUCAGACCUGAGGGACCAGUCUGGGAGGACCUGCUCCAGUCACUGUUUACCUGCUGGAAGGAGACUGUGGGGAGAUGAAGAAAAAGGCAGGGACAUCAGUGUCAUCAAGCUUGACUAUGGGGUAAAAAGGGAACGUCACAGCCAUUGAAAGAGAGUAAAAGUGAGAGAAAAAGAAGAAAACGUGGCUAGUGAGAGGUUUGCAAGCUGAGCGGUGUGAGGCUGAGAAAGGAAG